GGUCAAGCGAAUAAGCGCACACGGUGGAUGCCUUGGCGGUCAGAGGCGAUGAAGGACGUGGCAGCCUGCGAAAAGUAUCGGGGAGCUGGCAACAAGCUUUGAUCCGGUAAUGUCCGAAUGGGGAAACCCACCCGCUUGCGGGUAUCCUGCAGUGAAUACAUAGCUGCUGGAAGCGAACCUGGUGAACUGAAAUAUCUAAGUAACCAGAGGAAAAGAAAUCAACCGAGAUUCCGUAAGUAGCGACGAGCGAACGCGGACUAGCCCUUAAGCUGAUUUGGUUCUAGGAAAACGCUCUGGAAAGAGCGGCCAUAGAAGGUGAUAGCCCUGUAUCUGAAAGGGCCAUUUCAGUGAAGACGAGUAGGGCGGGGCACGUGAAACCCUGUCUGAACAUGGGGGGACCAUCCUCCAAGGCUAAAUACUACUGACCGACCGAUAGUGAACCAGUACCGUGAGGGAAAGGCGAAAAGAACCCCGGAGAGGGGAGUGAAAUAGAACCUGAAACCGUGUGCGUACAAGCAGUAGGAGCUCCGCAAGGAGUGACUGCGUACCUUUUGUAUAAUGGGUCAGCGACUUACUGUUCGUGGCAAGCUUAACCGUAUAGGGGAGGCGAAGGGAAACCGAGUCUGAUAAGGGCGCAUAGUCGCGGGCAGUAGACCCGAAACCGGGUGAUCUAGUCAUGCCCAGGGUGAAGGUGCGGUAACACGCACUGGAGGCCCGAACCCACUCCCGUUGCAAAGGUAGGGGAUGAGGUGUGAUUAGGAGUGAAAAGCUAAUCGAACCCGGAGAUAGCUGGUUCUCCUCGAAAGCUAUUUAGGUAGCGCCUCAUAUGUAUCCUCUCGGGGGUAGAGCACUGUUAUGGCUAGGGGGUCAUCGCGACUUACCAAACCAUUGCAAACUCCGAAUACCGAGACGGACUGUAUGGGAGACACACGGCGGGUGCUAACGUCCGUCGUGAAAAGGGAAACAACCCAGACCCACAGCUAAGGUCCCAAAUUUUGUGCUAAGUGGAAAACCAUGUGGAAAGGCACAGACAGCCAGGAGGUUGGCUUAGAAGCAGCCACCCUUUAAAGAAAGCGUAAUAGCUCACUGGUCGAGUCGGUCUGCGGGGAAGAUUUAACGGGGCUAAGCACAGAACCGAAGCUUGGGGUGCAUACUUUGUAUGCGCGGUAGAGGAGCGUUCCGUAAGCCGUUGAAGGUGGAUUGAGAAGUCUGCUGGAGGUAUCGGAAGUGCGAAUGCUGACAUGAGUAACGAUAAUGCGGGUGAAAAACCCGCACGCCGAAAGCCCAAGGUUUCCUUGCGCAACGUUAAUCGGCGCAGGGUGAGUCGGCCCCUAAGGCGAGGACGAAAGUCGUAGUCGAUGGGAAGCAGGUUAAUAUUCCUGCACCUCGCGUAAGUGCGAUGGAGGGACGGAGAAGGUUAGGUGUACCAGGCGUUGGUUGUCCUGGGGAAAGGCGGUAGGUUUGGAUCUUUGGCAAAUCCGGGAUCCUUUAAGACCGAGCACCGAGACGAGCCUUUAUGGCGAAGUCACUGAUACCACGCUUCCAGGAAAAGCUCCUAAGCUUCAGCUUACGCAGACCGUACCGUAAACCGACACAGGUGGGUAGGAUGAGAAUUCUCAGGCGCUUGAGAGAACUCGGGUGAAGGAACUAGGCAACAUGGCACCGUAACUUCGGGAGAAGGUGCACCCUUUUUGGUGGCUCGUGCGAGCUAUAGCUGAAGAGGGUCGCAGUAACCAGGCCGCUGCGACUGUUUAUCAAAAACACAGCACUCUGCAAACACGAAAGUGGACGUAUAGGGUGUGACGCCUGCCCGGUGCUGGAAGGUUAAUUGAUGGGGUCAGCCGCAAGGCGAAGCUCUUGAUCGAAGCCCCAGUAAACGGCGGCCGUAACUAUAACGGUCCUAAGGUAGCGAAAUUCCUUGUCGGGUAAGUUCCGACCUGCACGAAUGGCGUAACGACAGCGGCGCUGUCUCCACCCGAGACUCAGUGAAAUUGAAAUCGCUGUGAAGAUGCAGCGUUCCCGUGGCAAGACGGAAAGACCCCGUGAACCUUUACUAUAGCUUUACACUGAACGUUGAGUUCGUCUGUGUAGGAUAGGUGGGAGGCUAUGAAACCAUGGCGCUAGCUGUGGCGGAGCCAUCCUUGAAAUACCACCCUGUCGUGCUUGACGUUCUAACCUGGGCCCAUUAUCUGGGUCGGGGACCGUGUAUGGUGGGUAGUUUGACUGGGGCGGUCUCCUCCUAAAGAGUAACGGAGGAGCUCGAAGGUACGCUCAGCGCGGUCGGACAUCGCGCACUGUGUGCAAAGGCAUAAGCGUGCUUGACUGCAAGAUCGACGGAUCAAGCAGGUAGGAAACUAGGACUUAGUGAUCCGGUGGUUCUGUAUGGAAGGGCCAUCGCUCAACGGAUAAAAGGUACUCCGGGGAUAACAGGCUGAUACCGCCCAAGAGUUCAUAUCGACGGCGGUGUUUGGCACCUCGAUGUCGGCUCAUCACAUCCUGGGGCUGUAGUCGGUCCCAAGGGUAUGGCUGUUCGCCAUUUAAAGUGGUACGCGAGCUGGGUUCAGAACGUCGUGAGACAGUUCGGUCCCUAUCUGCCAUGGGCGUUGGAGAUUUGAGAGGGGCUGCUCCUAGUACGAGAGGACCGGAGUGGACGAACCUCUGGUGUUCCGGUUGUCACGCCAGUGGCAUUGCCGGGUAGCUAUGUUCGGAAGCGAUAACCGCUGAAAGCAUCUAAGCGGGAAGCGCGCCUCAAGAUGAGAUCUCCCGGGGCACAAGCCCCCUGAAGGAACCAUGUAGACUACGUGGUUGAUAGGUCAGGUGUGUAAGUACAGCAAUGUAUUGAGCUAACUGAUACUAAUGAUCCGAGAGGCUUGACCAU
rnacentral:rRNA from 2 species